GAUGAAGAACGCAGAGAAAUGCGAUAAGUAAUGUGAAUUGCAGAAUUCAGUGAAUCAUCGAAUCUUUGAACGCACAUUGCGCCCCUUGGUAUUCCGAGGGGCAUGCCUGUUCGAGCGUCAUUAUAACCCUCAAGCUCAGCUUGGUGUUGGGGCCUGCUGCACUGGCAGCCCUUAAAAUCAGUGGCGGCGCCAUCUGGCUCUAAGCGUAGUAAUUCUUCUCGCUAUGGAGUCCUGGUGGAUGCUUGCCAUCAACCCCCAAUUUUUCUAUGGUUGACCUCGGAUCAGGUAGGGAUACCCGCUGAACUUAAGCAUAUCAAUAAGCGGAGGA
rnacentral:misc_RNA from 1 species